UACGUAGGGUGCAGGCGUUAAUCGGAAUUACUGGGCGUAAAGCGUGCGCAGGCGGUCUUUUAAGUCAGAUGUGAAAUCCCCGGGCUUAACCUGGGAACUGCGUUUGAAACUGGAAGGCUUGAGUGUGGCAGAGGGGGGUGGAAUUCCACGUGUAGCAGUGAAAUGCGUAGAGAUGUGGAGGAACACCGAUGGCGAAGGCAGCCCCCUGGGCUGACACUGACGCUCAGGCACGAAAGCGUGGGGAGCAAACAGG
rnacentral:rRNA from 1 species